rnacentral:rRNA from 1 species
CGGACGGGUGAGUAAUGUCUGGGAAACUGCCCGAUGGAGGGGGAUAACUACUGGAAACGGUAGCUAAUACCGCAUAACGUCGCAAGACCAAAGAGGGGGACCUUCGGGCCUCCUGCCAUCGGAUGUGCCCAGAUGGGAUUAGCUAGUAGGUGGGGUAACGGCUCACCUAGGCGACGAUCCCUAGCUGGUCUGAGAGGAUGACCAGCCACACUGGAACUGAGACACGGUCCAG